GACGAACGCUGGCGGCGUGCUUAACACAUGCAAGUCGAACGAAGAGCGAUGGAAGCUUGCUUCUAUCAAUCUUAGUGGCGAACGGGUGAGUAACGCGUAAUCAACCUGCCCUUCAGAGGGGGACAACAGUUGGAAACGACUGCUAAUACCGCAUACGAUCUGACCUCGGCAUCGAGGAUAGAUGAAAGGUGGCCUCUACAUGUAAGCUAUCACUGAAGGAGGGGAUUGCGUCUGAUUAGCUAGUUGGAGGGGUAACGGCCCACCAAGGCGAUGAUCAGUAGCCGGUCUGAGAGGAUGAACGGCCACAUUGGGACUGAGACACGGCCCAGACUCCUACGGGAGGCAGCAGUGGGGAAUCUGCCGCAAUGGACGAAAGUCUGACGGAGCAACGCCGCGUGAGUGAUGACGGCCUUCGGGUUGUAAAGCUCUGUUAAUCGGGACGAAAGGCCUUUUUGCGAAUAGUGAGAAGGAUUGACGGUACCGGAAGAGAAAGCCACGGCUAACUACGUG
rnacentral:rRNA from 1 species